UCACGUGUUCGGGUGUAUAAACAGGUGUUCAGGUGUAUAAACAGGUGUUCGGGUGUAUGAACAGGUGUUCGGGUGUAUAAACAGGUGUUCGGGUGUAUGAACAGGUGUUCGGGUGUAUAAACAGGUGUUCGGGUGUAUUAACAGGUGUUCGGGUGUAUAAACAGGUGUUCGGGUGUAU